GACGAACGCUGGCGGCGUGCUUAACACAUGCAAGUCGAGCGGUAAGGCCCUUUCGGGGGUACGACGAGCGGCGAACGGGUGAGUAACACGUGGGUGACCUGCCCUCAGCUCUGGGAUAAGCCUGGGAAACUGGGUCUAAUACCGGAUAUGACUCCAUGACGCAUGUUGUGGGGUGGAAAGCCUUGUGCGGCUGAGGAUGGGCCCGCGGCCUAUCAGCUUGUUGGUGGGGUGANGGCCUACCAAGGCGACGACGGGUAGCCGGCCUGAGAGGGCGACCGGCCACACUGGGACUGAGACACGGCCCAGACUCCUACGGGAGGCAGCAGUAGGGAAUAUUGGACAAUGGGGGCAACCCUGAUCCAGCAAUGCCGCGUGAGUGAUGAAGGCCUUAGGGUUGUAAAGCUCGUUUUGGCGGGGACGAUGAUGACGUACCCGCAGAAUAAG
rnacentral:rRNA from 1 species